rnacentral:rRNA from 1 species
ACAGUUAGUUUUCUUGAUUAAAAAUUUUUAUUUAUGAUUAUAAAAUUAUUUUGAAAUAAAAUAUUGUUAAUUUUAGUAUAAUAAUAAAAAAAUUUAGGUUUAUUAUAAAGAAAGUAUUGAAAAAGAAUAAUUUUAUAAUUUAAAAAGUUAAAUUAAUUAUUUGUACCUUUUGUAUCAGGGUUUAAAGAAAAUAAAUAAGAUAAAUAUUUCUCAAAGAAUUAAGAUCUAAAUUUAUUUAAUUUUUAAUGUAGCAAAAUUAAUAUUAAAAAUAAAUUUAGUAAUGAAAAGUUAAUCGUUUAAUUAGAUUUUUAGUUUUCAAAUAAAUUAAUUUAAUUAAAUUUUAAAUUUUAAUUUAAUAAUUUUUUAUUAAGGAAAAUUUAGAGUAAAAUUAUAAAGAGUUUAGUUUUUAUAAUUUUUAUAUAUUUAUAAAUAAAAUUUUUUUUUAGAAUUAUAAUUGUUUAUAAUAAAUAAUUUUUUAAAAAGAAAAAUUUUUUAAAAUGAAUUUAUAAUUAAUUAAAAUAAUAUUUGAAUUGAAAUUAUAAUAGUAUAAAUUAAGUGAAUAUUUUAAAAUAAGUAAAUUAAAGUUAUUUAUAAUAUAGGAAUUCGGCAAAAUUAGUUUUCGCCUGUUUACCAAAAACAUGUCUUUAAGAUUAUUUUUAAAGUCCAAUCUGCUCACUGAAUUUUAAAGAGCUGCAGUAUACUGACUGUACAAAGGUAGCAUAAUCAAUAGUUUUUUAAUUGAAAACUGGAAUGAAAGAUUAGACGAGAAAUUGACUUUCUUUAUAAUAAAAAAUUGAAUUUAAAAUUUAAGUGAAAAUGCUUAAAUAUCAUUAAAAGACGAGAAGACCCUAUAGAUUUUUAUUAAAUUAAUAUUAUAAAAAAUAUUAUAUUUUUAAUUUAAUUUAAUUGGGGCGAUUUUGUAAAAUAAAAAACUUAAAUUUUAUUAACCAUAAAUAAUUGAAUUUUUUGAUCCAUAAAUUUUGAUUAAAAGAUUAAAUUACCUUAGGGAUAACAGCGUAAUUUUAUUUAAGAGUUCAUAUCUAUAAUAAAGAUUGCGACCUCGAUGUUGAAUUAAGAAGUUCAUUGGAGUAGAAAUUAAUGUUAAUUAGUCUGUUCGACUAUUAAAUUCUUACAUGAUUUGAGUUCAGACCGGCGUGAGCCAGGUCAGUUUCUAUCUUUAAUAUAUUUUUAUAAAUGGGUACGAAAGGACAAUUUAAAAAUAAAAUUUAUUUAAUCAUU